GCUGGGCAGGCGAUAUUUUCUUCAGGCAGGCGAAAAUAACAGUUCUGGUUUUUUCUUGACAUAUCUGCUAAAAUCUGCCUGCCCAUAUAUCUGUACUGGCUGGCGUUUUACUUUGCUGGGCAAACGUGAUAAUAGGGCAAGUAUGUGACAUGAUUCUUUUUCUCCUUUUUUUUUUCAAUUGAGCGUGUCUCUUUUCCCCCUUAUCAGUUUCUCAAAAACAUUCAAACUUUAGCCACUCUCCUCUCUCACGAAUUUUGAUCUUUUCUCACUCAAAUUCAUCCAAUUUUACUCCUCUCAUCCACAAAAAUUCAUUAUUUGACUCAUUCCUCUGACAAGGGUUCACAAGGGUUUGCAGAAGAAUUCAUCUNNNNNNNNNNNNNNNNNNNNNNNNNNNNAAGUCUAUUAUAAUGCUUUAAUGUUCAUUAGUCUUGAAUUAGAUUUACUUAAUUUAUGAAUUUAGGAUUUCAAUAUACAUGAAUUAGGAAUUUGUGGUUUUCACUCUUCAUAGAAAAUGAAUUUAGGGUUUAUAAUUCCUAAUUUCUCUUUAUAAUAGACAUAUUUCUUGAAAAGCUUUACAAGAAACGAGAGAAAGAAAAGAUGAAGCCCGAAUUCGUAAAUGAAGGAAACCUUACCGUACCAUUUGUGUCUUCGGAUUGGAAUUUGAUGUUUCAUCUCCUGCAAGUUGACAUCAUAAUAUUGUCCUGCGUGCCUCUGGUGGUUGGAGUCUCUUUGGAAUUUUUUAGAUUGACUUUGUUUUGUGGUUUUUUAGUGCCUGUUGUGUGUAACCUGGUAUUUUUUGCAGAUUCUGUAUCUUUUCUCUCCUUUAGUAUCUCUUGAGCUUAAGGAUGAAUCAUUAAUAUAUUAGUUGAUUCAAAAUUCAAGUUGACCGGAUGAANNNN
rnacentral:lncRNA from 1 species